rnacentral:sRNA from 1 species
UUAUUCAUGGUUGUUACGAUACAUGUA